rnacentral:rRNA from 1 species
AACGUAGGAGGCGAGCGUUAUCCGGAUUUACUGGGCGUAAAGCGCGUGCAGGCGGUUGCUCAAGUUGGGCGUGAAAUCUCCUGGCUUAACUGGGAGGGGUCGUCCAAGACUGAGUGACUUGAGGGCAGGAGAGGGAAGUAGAAUUCCAGGUGUAGCGGUAAUAUGCGCAGAUAUCUGGAGGAAUACCAGUGGCGAAGGCGGCUUCCUGGCCUGUUUCUGACGCUAAGACGCGAAAGCUAGGGGAG